rnacentral:rRNA from 1 species
UACGGGGGGGGCAAGCGUUGUUCGGAAUUACUGGGCGUAAAGGGCGCGUAGGCGGUCCCGUAAGUUCCGCGUGAAAUCCCCCGGCUCAACCGGGGAAUGGCGCGGAAAACUGCGGGGCUUGAGUUCGGGAGAGGGAAGCGGAAUUCCGGGUGUAGCGGUGAAAUGCGUAGAUAUCCGGAGGAACACCGGUGGCGAAGGCGGCUUCCUGGACCGACACUGACGCUGAGGCGCGAAAGCUAGGGGAGCAAACGGG